rnacentral:rRNA from 1 species
GACGAACGCUGGCGGCGUGCUUAAUACAUGCAAGUCGAGCGGUAAGGCCCUUUCGGGGGUACACGAGCGGCGAACGGGUGAGUAACACGUGGGUGACCUGCCCUCAGCUCUGGGAUAAGCCUGGGAAACUGGGUCUAAUACUGGAUAUGACUCCACGGUGCAUGUCGUGGGGUGGAAAGCCUUGUGCGGCUGAGGAUGGGCCCGCGGCCUAUCAGCUUGUUGGUGGGGUGANGGCCUACCAAGGCGACGACGGGUAGCCGGCCUGAGAGGGCGACCGGCCACACUGGGACUGAGACACGGCCCAGACUCCUACGGGAGGCAGCAGUGGGGAAUCUUGCGCAAUGGGCGAAAGCCUGACGCAGCGACGCCGCGUGAGGGAUGACGGCCUGG